rnacentral:rRNA from 1 species
GAUGAACGCUGGCGGCGUGCUUAACACAUGCAGGUCGAACGAUGAAGCCCAGCUUGCUGGGUGGAUUAGUGGCGAACGGGUGAGUAACACGUGAGUAACCUGCCCUUAACUCUGGGAUAAGCCUGGGAAACUGGGGCUAAUACCGGAUAGGAGCGUCCACCGCAUGGUGGGUGUUGGAAAGAUUUAUCGGUUUUGGAUGGACUCGCGGCCUAUCAGCUUGUUGGUGAGGUAAUGGCUCACCAAGGCGACGACGGGUAGCCGGCCUGAGAGGGUGACCGGCCACACUGGGACUGAGACACGGCCCAGACUCCUACGGGAGGCAGCAGUGGGGAAUAUUGCACAAUGGGCGCAAGCCUGAUGCAGCGACGCCGCGUGAGGGAUGACGGCCUUCGGGUUGUAAACCUCUUUCAGUAGGGAAGAAGCGAAAGUGACGGUACCUGCAGAAGAAGCACCGGCUAACUACGUG